CAGUUCCUGAUCGUUCUUUUAACCUUUCGUGUGUUGUCACUGAGCAUUCUCCGCAUAAUGAAACCUGUUUGUGGCUCAGUCAAGAGAUCCUUGUUGUGGCGCUUGGGUUUUUUUAGACACCUGACAAAGUGUAAAUGCUUUUGAGGAAAAUGACAGAGUCAUGGAAGGACCGGAGUCAACGUGGGUUUUCUACAAGGGUUGUGACAAAUAACAGUGUGCUAAUCAUUCAUGGCUUUAACAGUGUGUUUGUUCCAAGUUUUCCAUGCCUGUGACUCAGUUAUUCUUUAAUGACCUGUGAUGACAAGAUUUACUAUUGCAUUCAGAGAGAUAUCGACGUACAAAGAUGUUCUUCGUUCACAGGUGCAACAGUCGUGCUACGGUGACCGUUUCUAGGUAGAUAAUUUUGUAUAUUCAGUCUGUUUGACGUCCUGUACGAAAAUUCGAUGAUUUAAAAGAUAGCUCUGAACUUGGAUUUACAGCAGAUCUUUAUUAUAUUUGAAUUUUCUGCAUAGCGAAUUCGCUUUAAUUAAAAUACUGAGUCGUAAAAUCCCAGUAACUCAUACAUAUACAUAUAUAUAUAUAUAUGGGGGAGCCAAGUUUUUGUGGCCUUCAGUGUAAUGUGAGAAAUUGAUGGACACUCGUAGGUGGAGCAUGUAUUGAAUGGCCGUUUGAUGCGGUCUGCGGGUACCGAUCUUAUCGACAAUGGACUAAGAAACUUGAUUCUUAGUAUCGCAACUUCGUUGUCGCCGUCAAUGAGAAGCUUUCUGGAAUCGGCUAGUGUCGAUGCAAUUUAUGAAUGUUUAAGUUCUAGUCUAUUUUUCAUUUUGAAAAGUGGCUGAUUGUAAAGGUUGGUGCGUAGCUUUACACUGAGCACAUCGUGGUCUCUGUUAAUUCGAUGCAUCAAAUCGUGUGCACAUUUCUGUUGUGUCAUCAGAGAGUGGAAGGAUUUACAGGAUGUAACUCAGUUCAGUCCUAUUUCUUGUCAUUUGCAGCACUAAGCUUGCAAGAAUGACUUCCUGUAGUCAUAGUUAUCUUGUAUUAUCAGCAGCAAAGGGUUAAGAACUGGCAGUCAGCUUAAUGGGUUAUUAUGCAAUUCUGUAACCCUUUAUGCAGUUAUUAAACCUCUGCAACUGAGCUCGUAACCCUAUAUUGAGCAGCUGCGAGAAAAAAUUGUCUUUGAAGGGGAUUUCAAAGUCAGAGAUCGUGGUGGACAUUGAGAAGGUAUUAUCUCCCAUGGUAAUUUUGGGUGUUAAUGUUUCGGGAUGAGUAGUUGCUACAUAUAUACAAGUGCAGUUGCAAAGUUCCUGAUUUUUUAGAAACAGAUCCUGACGACUUUUUCAAACCAUCUGAUUCGAUGGUCAACCAAUUAUCAGUUAUAAAUGUACACUACUUUUUUCUUCAAAUGUA